GACGAACGCUGGCGGCGUGCUUAACACAUGCAAGUCGAACGGUGAAGCGCCUUCCUUUUUGGUGGGUGUGGAUGAGUGGCGAACGGGUGAGUAACACGUGAGUAACCUGCCCCCUUCUUCUGGAUAACCGCAUGAAAGUGUGGCUAAUACGGGAUAUUCUGGGUCUGUCGCAUGAUGGGUCUGGGAAAGAUAUUGUUUCGGUGUGGGAUGGGCUCGCGGCCUAUCAGCUUGUUGGUGGGGUGAUGGCCUACCAAGGCGGUGACGGGUAGCCGGCCUGAGAGGGUGGACGGUCACACUGGGACUGAGACACGGCCCAGACUCCUACGGGAGGCAGCAGUGGGGAAUAUUGCACAAUGGGAGCAAGCCUGAUGCAGCGACGCCGCGGGGGGGAUGGAGGCCGUCGGGUUGUGAACCUCUUUCGCCAGUGAAGCAGGCCUGCCUCGUUUGUGGGUGGGUUGACGGUAGCUGGAGAAGAAGCGCCGGCUAACUACGUG
rnacentral:rRNA from 1 species